CUAUGAUCUGAAGUCAAGUGGGACUACCCGCUGAACUUAAGCAUAUCAAUAAGCGGAGGA
rnacentral:rRNA from 6 species